UCCAGUUUCAAUAGAUUCCCUCUCUCUCUCCUUCGGUGGUAGGCCUAUUCUAGCACCCUAUUUCAUCCGAAUUAUCUUAAUUUAAAUCUGCCACACCAAAACCCGAAGGUGGAUUGUGCAAUACUAGGCCUAGCUCAGUAUGUCGUCAUCCAAUAACAUUCAUAUAGAGUUAAUGGGGGGAAAUGCAUCUAAUAAACACAAAUAAUACUGUUGUAAUAACAUUGUCAUAAUGCUUGCUUCUAUAAGGUGUUUUUAAGGGCUACAUGGUUUGGGUAAGAGGUGUUUAGCAAUUUCUGUUAGCUAAUUUUGCAUAAAACACACACACACACACACACACACAAACACACACACAGGUAUAAACCUGCGUAAAAGUCACCAAACGUACUUAAAGCCCAUGCAAACAAAUUGUAGCCUACCCGUUGCCCUAAGUUUGGGGUAAUAUUUCGAUAUUUUUCUUAUAUAGUGUAAUAACCAGGCGGUAAUAUUAUCUCAAGUAGCCUAUAGCCUAAAAAUUAAUAGAAAAAAACGCUUUCUCACAUAAUGGCAUACGCGCAAAGCAUGCUUAACUCACACGUGCAUACUCACUCUUGUACCAGAUACACACCCGCUCGCGCGCGCGCGCACACACACACACACACACACACACACACACACACACACACACACACACACACGUCCCCUCUAGCCUGUCUGUGAUUGGUCACUCGGCCGUUUGCUGCUGGAGUGACGUCACUGCAGAAGAGAACUGUCAGAGGAAGAAGCAUUUAUAGAAAAAACUCUAUGCUCUCAGGGUAGUGAGAGCAACCGCGGCACGGAGGAGAGCUUCAAUGGAUAAACUAACGGGCUACGGGAGGAUCGCGCUUUGAUUUAUAAUCCGUAGAGAGAUACCAUCUCUUAUGCCAUUCACGAGACACAAGUGAAAUAAUGGUUAAGGGAUAACACAACCUCGGAAAUAAACCACCAAUUCGACAUGGAUCGUUCCAAAACAGAGGUUUGAGCAUCGACAGCGCCUUUUAGAAACCGUAUGCCUCCGCCUGCUUCGAACGGCGAAUUUGGGAUGAGAAGCAUUUAUCGUUUUCUGUACAGACACAUGUCCUCUCUUAAUAGGUAAAUAAUCUGAUUUCAUUUCCUCGGUAAAACCUAUUCUAUAUGCUAGCCAUAUGCUUCUCAUCCUUUACCGGAACCCUUACUGUUGACUUCCACGCGGAUACGCAGCCCUCCAUUGGAUGGCAAAAGAACCAGGACAAAUUUCCUCGCAUUGAAAAGUGGAACCCAUACGAUACUCUGGCAGUAUGUACGAGGAGGAGUCGGUUGCUAUCUUUGGUUAUCUAGCUGUAUGAGUGUUACUCGGCCGUCAUAAAGCUAGCUAACCGAAUGUAGGAAUGUCCUCCAAACCUGCGACUCGGACAGGAAAAAAUGGUGUCUAGGAGUAAAGACACAAAAUAACAUAAUUGAUAUGCAAUUACAGGCCAAUACCUCAUUGCCUUUCCGGUUGAUCCAGUGCCCUUGUCACUGCAGUGGCUGCCUGAGAUACACCCACAAACUCUGCAGUAUGAACAGCAAACUGUCUACUAAAUGUGACUGCCAGCCAUUCACACCAGGUCUGGAUUGAGCAAGGGGAAAGUGGCACAGUCGUCACAAAAAAAAACAGAAAGCAGGAGGGGAAGAAAAAGGCCAACCCCCUUGUCCCUCUUCCCUUAAAUCUCCAUCACCGGAAGCCUUUGGUGCCAUCUGUGCCCCUGGAGAAAAGGACGGGCGAGAUGCCUCCACCCUGUGCCAACGGGGACAAAGGAGCUGCCAGUUAGAGCGGCCCCCCUCGCAGGCAGCCAGAGGACUCUGUGUUACUGACUGGGGCUGAGCUACGGAAGCCAUCUUGAUGGAGAGUCUUGCUGCUGCUCCUAAAAUGGCUGUGUUGGCAUGAGGUCCUGCAGGUGUUGACAACCUCUAGGGGAAGACUUCCAUCAGCCCUGAGCCCUAAGCCCUGAGCCCUGAGCCCUGGGCCCUGGGCCCUGAACCCUGAGCCCUGGGCCCUGAACCCUGAGCCCUGGGCCCUGAACCCUGAGCCCUGGGCCCUGAACCCUGAGCCCUGGGCCCUGAACCCUGAGCCCUGGGCCCUUCCUCAUUGGCAUCCUCUCCAGUCAAACACUGAGAAAUGAGGGCACUGAAGAAUCCCCCCUAAAGUUAACAGACAUUUGCUUGUAGAAAUUUACUGUAAGGACAAUGUAUGGAGAUAUUUACUGUAAGGACAAUGUAUGGAGAUAUUUACUGUAAGGACAAUGUUUGGAGAUAUCUACUGUAAGGACAAUGUAUGGAGAUAUUUACUGUAAGGACAAUGUUUGGAGAUAUCUACUGUAAGGACAAUGUAUGGAGAUAUUUACUGUAAGGACAAUGUUUGGAGAUAUCUACUGUAAGGACAAUGUAUGGAGAUAUUUACUGUAAGGACAAUGUUUGGAGAUAUUUACUGUAAGGACAAUGUUUGGAGAUAUUUACUGUAAGGACAAUGUUUGGAGAUAUUUACUGUAAGGACAAUGUUUGGAGAUAUUUGAAGACAUUGUUUGCAGAAGUUGUGCACAGACUAUCUGAUGAUAUAUUGCACGGCUGAGAGUGUAUAGUUUCAACAUAACUUUUAACAUUACAGCAGAAUGUAAAACAAUGUGUGUAGGAUGUGAAAUCAAAAGGGAUGAGAUCAACAUGUGUUCAUACCUUAAUUUAAGUACAGGUGUGUGUGUGUGGUGCGUGUGUAGUCCCUACUGUACUUUUAGAGUACUCUGGAGUGUACUGGGCUUCAGAGAAGCACUACAGUGCCCUAAUGUGUGGGCUGUUUACAAGAGAAGCUCUCUGGAUGUCUAUCCUCUGUCAUGUGCAAUUAGUUACUUUAUGAAUAGAACUGACUACUCUAUGCAAAUAAAUGUGAAUGACUCACCCUCUGGCUGUAUUGCAAAUGUUGUUUGACUGUCACAGUGAAAAGAAAGACAUUGUUUGGUGAAGAUUCCAUCCAUUUACUGUAUAUCCAUCAAAUGCUGCAUUUUUCCUAUUACAAAUAUUAUCUGCAUGUGGUCAUAAUGAUCAGGGAAUGUUCUACAUGAAAUGUGUUAGAUACAGUAUUGAAACAGUCCGAUUAAUAGCUGUCUCAUUGCCUGAUUUUUAUUAUUAUCCUUAUUCAGAGAGAUAGACCGUUUUGAACAUACCUGCAAUAAAGAAAGGGACACAUACUUGUACACAAACGUCUUACAAAACAUGUUGUUGUAAUUGAGUUCUGACUUGUCAUGACUUCUGGGCUGUUUGAAUUGAAUGUGUAUACAGAAUAAAUAAUACAACAGA